rnacentral:lncRNA from 1 species
AUUUUAAACUUGAUUUAAUACACUUAUAACAACUUUAGUUAUAUCUUAUAACUCAUGUAAAUAUACUAUCUUGGCCCGAACAAUUAGCCAAUUCUCAUGAUUUAUAAAUGAUUUAGCAUAAUAGUCUCUUUGAACCACUUUAUCGAACAUGUAAUAUGCAUAGCAUGUAAAGUCAGAUUUCACAAACAUUAUAUAUGCAACUUCU